CAGACCCUACUGCUGCAGUGAGUGUGGCCAUAACUAACACCUGGCCCAGCACCACCACAAACACCUGCCUGAGCCCCCUGUCACUGUAGCCAGUCUGGCAGGGGCUUCUCCAAGAGCUCCAGCCUGCUGUAGCACGCCACUGUACACACAGGUACUGGCAGUGGCCCGCUACUGCACAGCCCAGGCCACAGUAGGAAGCCUUUCCAGUGCCCAGUGUGGCAACGUCUCCAGCCAUCACUGCAACCUGCAACCCCAGGUGGAGCAGCCAUACCACUGCAGCCAGUGAAGCAAAAGCUUGGGACAGAGCUCAAGGCUGGUGCAGCACCUGCAAGUCCGACAGGCCAGACUGAGGCUCAGCUUGUGGUGCAGCUGCAUCACCACCAGGGCCACCCCUGGGGACAGGCCCUACUGCUCUGGCUUCCUUGGUUGUAGCUUCACUCAGAGAACCUAUGUGUCAUGACACUAGGUCAUACACAACAGGAAGGACAGGGACAAACACAGAAGGAAGAGGAGUCAGGGCCUCUGUGGCAGUGCCACCCCCACCCCCACCACCAACUGUGCAGCACUCCAGGAGAAUAGAAGGGCAGCCUUGGUGACAGAAUCCCUCCACCUGUGGAAGACAUCACAGAACACAGCUCCCCCUGACCCCCAGCCAGAAUGACUUUUUUUUUUUUUUUUUUUUGGGAGCUGGUCAGUACGGGAAUCUGAACCUGGCCUUUGUGUUAUAACAUUGCACUCAAACCAAUUGAGCCAGCCAGCCAGCCCCUCAGAAUGACUUUCAGAGCAGCCCUAUGGGGUGGCCAGAGUGUCUCACCUGGACCUAUUUGAAGCUAGAAUAGCCAGGUCCAUCUCAUUCUAGACCUGACUGGCCGGUUGGCUCAGUUGGUUAGAGCAUGACCUUGUAACACCAAAGUCAAGGGUUCAGUUCCCCAAGUUGGCCAGCUGCAAAAAAAAGUAAAGAAAACUCUAGACCAAAGUGCUGAUCUCUGAGGGAACUCCCAAGCCUAGAGAAGAAUUUUGCCUGUUUCUUAGAAAGACAUCUGUACUUCUCAGUUAAAAAAAGAAAAAAAAUUUUUUUAAAUAACAAAUAAAAUGUCCCUGGGCAAUUUCCCAUAUUCUGUCCUCAUCUGAGAAGUUUAACUAGGCUGUCUUGGACCUGCUAUUGUCGUGAAUGGAUCAGAUUCCCUGGGAUUUUCCUGAAGGGGUCCUUUUAAAGAGAUAACUAAAUCCCCAGAUGUCUCUGACAACCCCCACCAUCAUAUCCUAGUCACCAUACUAAUUCCUCCGAAUCCCAUCGCUUCCUCUAGAGACUGCUGGGUCCUUCUUACGUCAGGUGCUAAAGCUACACCCAGUGCUCCUAUCUGAUGAUGCCAUCACCCUGUGCCCACUCCUGGCUUCACCAGGCCCUGUUCCCAGGACCCCAGGACUUUAAAACCCUUGUUGCAUUUAACUCUAAAAAUAAUGCCCAGCUGCUCUUUCCAACUACACAGAGAGCCUCUUAUUGAAAGAUGAAAACAGGCAGAGGCCUGUGGCCAAGGAAAAGGCAGGGAGAUGGAAGAGAUGCAGACCAGAGGAAGAAGCCAAGGGAGGCUGGAGGACAAGUAAAGAAAGGAGAACAGGACUGUGUGAGACAAGAUACAGAAAAAAAAAUCUCAAAAACCUAGAAGGGAACAUAUGGUACAAACAUCUUUCCCCCAGUGCUGCCAAGAUACUGAGUUAACCACCACAAGCAGUACAUGUCCUGCCAUUUGCACUUCUACAAAAAUUGCUUGUUUAAUGUCCUCUUCAUAUACAGGAAAACUGGCUUUGGACAGUCAGCCAGGAGUCCCACAUGAGUGUCCCCUCAGAUUGGCACCCCUCAACCCAGCCUGACACUGAAGAGGCAGCUGUCAUCAUUCACCUUUGCAGAAGGUUCCUUGCGGGAGAUACUCCCUUGGGGUAACACUUGCAGCAAGUUAUUGUUACUGUUCAUUUUGUAGGAUAAGUGAGACCUCAGUUCUUGUAUUAACUUGCCCCAAAGAAUACUCUUUGGAACUUGGCAACAUUUCUCCCUGUGAUGUAUCAAAGAGGCUGAUUAUUGACACAUGCAAGAAUGAAUUAAAGACAAUUUGAGGUAAAAGGA